AUUGGGUGCAAUCACACAUCCCACACAUAGAACCCUCAAGGAGAGUGAUGGUGGUGGUGGUGAUAGUGGUGGUGGUGGUGGUGGUGGUGGUGGUGAUGGUAGUGCUGGUAGUGAUGAUGGGUGAUGUUCAGGAGAUUGUGAAGGGGGAUGCGGGGAUCAAAGCUAAAACAGUGGUCCUGGCUGUCAUGGAGGGGGGCUGGCUGGCUGCUGACUAGCAACAGCCGAGCUGUCAGAGGUGUACAUAGGUGACAGAUGACGCUAGGAACCAGCACACGCGUACACAUUCUUUCUCGCUAUCUCUUUGCCUGACUCUUUCUUUCACACACACACACACACACACACACACACACACACACACACACACACACACACACACACACACACACACACACACACACACACACACACACACACACACACACACUCUCUCUUU